GUGAAUCAUCGAAUUUUUGAACGCAAAUUGCACUUUCUGGUAUUCCGGAAAGUAUGCCUGUUUGAGGGUCAGUUAAAUAAAAAUCGGUGUUGUUGCUGCCUUUCGUGGUGACGCGUCGGAAUUGAGUUGUCUUACCUUCGGUUAAGUGACUUAAAAUUUUUGCUUGAUUUUCGAACGUAUUUAAAUCGUUUACGUACGUUUGAGAUAUCGAAUGCUUAUUAGGUUCGGUCAUCCUCAUGACUCGCGCCUAUAAUUUUUCCAUUAAUUGCCUCCAAAUCAGGUAAGAUAACCACUU
rnacentral:misc_RNA from 1 species